rnacentral:lncRNA from 1 species
AUAUAAAAUAUACAUGCAUCUACCGGCCUCAGUUCGGACACACACACAACCUGCAACUAGCACGAGCAUCAGCACCACAACUUCCUUCUCUGCCAUUACCAACAUCAGCGCACCAACACUCACAUACACCGACACCAAUGUUGGCACCUCAAUAUGUCAAACCACCAAGAUUGCCAACACCUACACCACUUUGAUGACUCCACACCAGACUCACUUUCCUUCUUACAACCUCGUCUUGCUACUCUCUCUCUCUGGUUACUCUCUCCCUUCCCUUUUGCAAUAACUCGACCCCCAUAUACUAUCAUAUUUUACCCCAAUCCUGCUAUACGACACACACUAACUCCAUUCUGGGCUGUUCCUUUCCUUCCCCUCACUUCCACUCAAUUCACUCACCACUCCUCAUCUCUCUACCUUCUCCCAACUCGAAAUCAUCCUUUAAGCACCUGGACAAAAAUUCAAACCAUGUCACCAUAAUAAAGUUUGAGAACCCGAGUUUAUUUAUCUCUAGCCUCCAUCUUCUCCUAGCUCGGUAAGAUCUUCUUCACUCGUAAGCUUCCUCAACCUCUGCUCUCGAUCUCUCCUUUAGUUUCUUCACUCUCUCUCCUUCCCUGUCGACCGACCUAUCUCUUCCCCCCCUUUUGUUUUUCUUUUUCCUUUUUCUUUUCUUUUCUUUUUUCUUCCCUUAGCCCACCCCUAUUUAUAUAUCUCCCUUCCCAUCUAAUCUUAACCCUUCAUCCUACCAUUCAAAUCCUCACCAUCCACUUAGUUGACUCCUAAACCUACUUGACCUUACAACACACCCCCUUUGCUGUGUUACAAGUGAGAAGAGUGGGGCUGGUCUAUGGGCUUGGGUCUUUUGGAUUGGGCCGAAGAAAACAUUAGGCUAGCUGGGUGUUACAACCAUUACCGACAACUGACCAUCAAAUGGCCACUCAUACACACACACAACCUUUACCGACACAUCAGAACACACAUUCCUUUAAAAUCUGGUGACAUUCCUAAAUGUUUUUACCUAUUUUCACCCUUACCUCUCGAUCUCCACGCAAUUCGUUCCUAUCACCCCUAAACUCGACUCAGACUUUCUUGCUUCCUGAACUUUAUAGAAUAUUAUCUAUUUUCCUUCCCCUUCCUCUCCUCACAAACCAUAAAAGUAAUAAUCUGGUAAGAAUUUCAUAAUUGAUUUACCAUUUUCACCAUUCAAAAUCCACUUGCCUCUCGUUUCGAGUGUGGUGUCAGAUUGCAGUGACAGACCUCCUUUCAAAUAAUCUCCCUCGUAUGCGGUUGUACUCCGACGAGGUCUCUCGUGCUACCUCAUCCAUCUUAGCCUUUCAAGAGUCGUUUCCUCUUUUCCUCCUUAGUCGAGCUUCCUCCCUUUUUCUUUAUGCUAACCUCACCCUAAAACCCUUACGAUGUUGCAGAUGAGAAGAAGAAAGGGAAGGCUAUUCGUGUAGGCUUGGGGUUCGGGCUCGGGUGGGUUUUUUUUUUUUCUAUUUUAUUAGGCUGAAGGAGGUAUUGGGCUUGAUAGGUGCUACAAUCUCUCCCCUUAAAAAAAAUUAGUCCUCCAAAUUUUUCAUGACAAGGGAUACUUGUUUUCAAGUUUCCUCCUCAACUAGAUGGCUUCGUUGCUAUGUUAUCACCAAAAAGAUCUUUUAGUACAUAACCACUUCUUCUCUAAAUCGCAUAAGUAAGGUAUAAUUGCAAAGAAUUCAUCUCUCUAUUCCAAGUAUUUUAGUGCUUAGAGUUUGUUGGUGCCUCUCACUAUAGUUAUCUUAAGAGCAUUUGAUUCAACAAAAAAAAUAUCAUCAUGGACCCUAGUGAUCCUCAGGAUUCAUUAAAGUCUAAUAUUUUUCAAUUAUAUUGUAUGCAAUUAUUAUU